rnacentral:rRNA from 1 species
UGAGGAAUAUUGGUCAAUGGACGGAAGUCUGAACCAGCCAAGUAGCGUGCAGGAAGACGGCCCUAUGGGUUGUAAACUGCUUUUGUAUGGGGAUAAAGUCAAUCACGUGUGAUUGUUUGCAGGUACCAUACGAAUAAGGACCGGCUAAUUCCGUGCCAGCAGCCGCGGUAAUACGGAAGGUCCGGGCGUUAUCCGGAUUUAUUGGGUUUAAAGGGAGCGUAGGCCGGAGAUUAAGUGUGUUGUGAAAUGUAGACGCUCAACGUCUGACUUGCAGCGCAUACUGGUUUCCUUGAGUACGCACAACGUUGGCGGAAUUCGUCGUGUAGCGGUGAAAUGCUUAGAUAUGACGAAGAACUCCGAUUGCGAAGGCAGCUGACGGGAGCGCAACUGACGCUUAAGCUCGAAGGUGCGGGUAUCAAACAGGAUUAGAUACCCUGGUAGUCCGCACAGUAAACGAUGGAUGGCCGCUGUUGGUACCUGGUAUCAGCGGCUAAGCGAAAGCAUUAAGCAUCCCACCUGGGGAGUACGCCGGCAACGGUG